AAGAUCUUAAGUUAUCCAAACUAACAUCCUUCAAAGUUGUAAAAAAAAGAACCUUCUUUUAGAUCUUA
rnacentral:tRNA from 1 species